rnacentral:rRNA from 1 species
AAUGAACGCUGGCGGCGCGCCUAAUACAUGCAAGUCGAGCGAGAAGACGUAGCAAUACGUUUGUAAAGCGGCGAACGGGUGAGGAAUACAUGGGUAACCUACCCUCGAGUGGGGAAUAACUAGCCGAAAGGUUAGCUAAUACCGCGUACGCUUCUUGGACUUCGGUUCAGGGAGGAAAGCGAUGCCGAGGGUAUCGCGCUCUUGGAUGGGCUCAUGUCCUAUCAGCUUGUUGGGAGGUAACGGCUCACCAAGGCUUCGACGGGUAGCUGGUCUGAGAGGACGAUCAGCCACACUGGCACUGCGACACGGGCCAGACUCCUACGGGAGGCAGCAGUAAGGAAUAUUGCGCAAUGGGCGAAAGCCUGACGCAGCGACGCCGCGUGGGGGAGUGAAGGCC